rnacentral:rRNA from 1 species
GAUGAACGCUGGCGGCGUGCCUAAUACAUGCAAGUCGAGCGAACAGACGAGGAGCUUGCUCCUCUGACGUUAGCGGCGGACGGGUGAGUAACACGUGGAUAACCUACCUAUAAGACUGGGAUAACUUCGGGAAACCGGAGCUAAUACCGGAUAAUAUAUUGAACCGCAUGGUUCAAUAGUGAAAGACGGUUUUGCUGUCACUUAUAGAUGGAUCCGCGCCGCAUUAGCUAGUUGGUAAGGUAACGGCUUACCAAGGCAACGAUGCGUAGCCGACCUGAGAGGGUGAUCGGCCACACUGGAACUGAGACACGGUCCAGACUCAGACGGGAGGCAGCAGUAGGGAAUCUUCCGCAAUGGGCGAAAGCCUGACGGAGCAACGCCGCGUGAGUGAUGAAGGUCUUCGGAUCGUAAAACUCUGUUAUUAGGGAAGAACAAAUGUGUAAGUAACUAUGCACGUCUUGACGGUACCUAAUCAGAAAGCCACGGCUAACUACGU